CCAUGACCUUAUUUCCUUAUCUUGCAACCAUGAAUGGACCUUGUGAUUACACCCGAAAGGAAAGAAUAACAAGCUUUUCUGCAGAACAAUUUGGCGAUAGUCGUAAAAGAGCUGCUACAAUUUCAGACAUUGCGCCUACAUUCUAAGAAGGAUGAAGGGAAAAGUGAUGGAUCAAGGGCUUGACAAAACAAGACAGCUAAGUCAAUCAACACUUUAAAGAAUCUUCCAGGAAACUUGUUGGGAGACUUCAUAUCAUGGAUCUUGGUCAUUUACAUCAUAUAUAAUUCUCAAGACAUAUUUUCAUGAAAUGCUUUUGAGAAGGUCUAA